CUUGACCGAGCCCAGCAGCAGCGGCCGGUCCUCCUCGCGGUCCUGGCCGUACGUGGCCAGGAGGGCCUGGGCCUC
rnacentral:antisense_RNA from 1 species